rnacentral:rRNA from 1 species
GCAUAUCAAUAAGCGGAGGAAAGAAACCAACCGGGAUUACCUCAGUAACGGCGAGUGAAGCGGUAACAGCUCAAAUUUGAAAUCUGGCUCUUGCGGAGUCCGAGUUGUAAUUUGUAGAAGAUGCUUUGGGUUGUGGGUUCGGCCUAAGCUCCUUGGAACAGGACGUCAUAGAGGGUGAGAAUCCCGUAUGUGGCCGAGGCCCCGCGCCUAUGUAAAGCUCUUUCAACGAGUCGAGUUGUUUGGGAAUGCAGCUCAAAAUGGGUGGUAAAUUUCAUCUAAAGCUAAAUAUGGGCCAGAGACCGAUAGCGCACAAGUAGAGUGAUCGAAAGAUGAAAAGCACUUUGGAAAGAGAGUUAAACAGUACGUGAAAUUGUUGAAAGGGAAGCGCUUGCAACCAGACUUGGGCGCUGCCGAUCACCUUGAGUUUUCUCGAGUGCACUCGACAGCGCACAGGCCAGCAUCGGUUCGGGUGGCUGGAUAAAGGCCGUAGGAAUGUGGCUCUCUUCGGGGAGUGUUAUAGCCUACGGUGCCAUGCAGCCCAGCCGGACCGAGGACCGCGCCUUCGGGCUAGGAUGCUGGCGUAAUGGUUGUAAGCGACCCGUCUUGAAACACGGACC